CCUACGGGAGGCAGCAGUGGGGAAUUUUGGACAAUGGGCGCAAGCCUGAUCCAGCAAUGCCGCGUGAGUGAAGAAGGCCUUCGGGUUGUAAAGCUCUUUUGUCAGGGAAGAAACGGCUGAGGCUAAUAUCCUCGGCUAAUGACGGUACCUGAAGAAUAAGCACCGGCUAACUACGUGCCAGCAGCCGCGGUAAUACGUAGGGUGCAAGCGUUAAUCGGAAUUACUGGGCGUAAAGCGUGCGCAGGCGGUUUUGUAAGUCUGUCGUGAAAGCCCCGGGCUUAACCUGGGAAUUGCGAUGGAGACUGCAAGGCUUGAAUCUGGCAGAGGGGGGUAGAAUUCCACGUGUAGCAGUGAAAUGCGUAGAGAUGUGGAGGAACACCGAUGGCGAAGGCAGCCCCCUGGGUCAAGAUUGACGCUCAUGCACGAAAGCGUGGGGAGCAAACAGGAUUAGAUACCCUGGUAGUCCACGCCCUAAACGAUGUCUACUAGUUGUCGGGUCUUAAUUGACUUGGUAACGCAGCUAACGCGUGAAGUAGACCGCCUGGGGAGUACGGUCGCAAGAUUAAAACNCAAAGGAUUGACGGCUGAGAGAGCGAGACGACGACGAGGGAGGAGG
rnacentral:rRNA from 1 species